rnacentral:rRNA from 1 species
UUCCGGUUGAUCCUGCCGGACCUGACUGCUAUCGGAUUGAUACUAAGCCAUGCGAGUCUUUGCAGUAAUGCAAGGCAUACGGCUCAGUAACACGUAGUCAACUUACCCUAUGGACGAGGAUAAUCUCGGGAAACUGAGCAUAAUACUCGAUAGAUCAUAAUGCCUGGAAUGGUUUAUGGUUAAAAUGAUUCGUCGCCAUAGGAUGGGACUGCGGCCUAUCAGCUUGUUGGUGAGGUAAUGGCCCACCAAGGCGAUUACAGGUACGGGCUCUGAGAGGAGAAGCCCGGAGAUGGGUACUGAGACAAGGACCCAGGCCCUAUGGGGCGCAGCAGGCGAGAAAACUUUGCAAUGUGCGAAAGCACGACAAGGUUAAUCCGAGUGAUUUCUGCUAAAGAAAUCUUUUGCAAGUCAUAAAACCACUAGUGAAUAAGGGGUGGGCAAGUUCUGGUGUCAGCCGCCGCGGUAAAACCAGCACCUCAAGUGGUCAGGAGGAUUAUUGGGCCUAAAGCAUCCGUAGCCGGCUCUGUAAGUUUUCGGUUAAAUCCAUGUGCUCAACGCAUGGGCUGCCGAAAAUACUGCAUAGCUAGGGAGUGGGAGAGGUAGACGGUACUCGGUAGGAAGGGGUAAAAUCCUUUGAUCUAUCGAUGACCACCUGUGGCGAAGGCGGUCUACCAGAACACGUUCGACGGUGAGGGAUGAAGCUGGGGGAGCAAACCGGAUUAGAUACCCGGGUAGUCCCAGCUGUAAACGAUGCAGACUCGAUGAUGCAUUGGCUUAUUGCCAAUGCAGUGUCGCAGGGAAGCCGUUAAGUCUGCCGCCUGGGAAGUACGUACGCAAGUAUGAAACUUAAAGGAAUUGGCGGGGGAGCACCACAAGGGGUGAAGCCUGCGGUUCAAUUGGAGUCAACGCCGGG